AGUAAAAGUCGUAACAAGGUUUCCGUAGGUGAACCUGCGGAAGGAUCAUUAACGCAUCUCUGACGGCGGAGGCGCGCCCUGCUCCGGACCGAAAGGCCGUGCAGCGGGCGCUCCCGAGUCGCUCAACCAUCGCAAACCCACCGUGCACUCUUGUCGGCGAGGGGCCUAGCGCCCCGAGCCGGAUCGCAAACACCUCUUUUAAAACAGAAUGAUCAGCGGACCUGCGUGCCGCCUAAACUUAAACAACUUUCAACAACGGAUCUCUUGGCUCUCGCAUCGAUGAAGAACGCAGCGAAAUGCGAUAAGUAAUGUGAAUUGCAGAAUUCAGUGAAUCAUCGAAUCUUUGAACGCACCUUGCGCUCCUUGGUAUUCCGAGGAGCAUGCCUGUUUGAGUGUCAUGGAAUUCUCAACCUCUGUCACUUUUGUGACGGAGGCUUGGACUUGGGGGUCGUGUCGGCUUGCGAAAGUCGACUCCUCUGAAAUGCAUUAGUGCGAGCCUUACGGAUCGCUUCGGUGUGAUAAUUGUCUACGCCGUGGUGUGAAGUAUCUCUGUGUUCGUGCUUCUAACCGUCCGCGAGGACAACUUUUAACAUCUGACCUCAAAUCAGGUAGGACUACCCGCUGAACUUAAGCAUAUCAAUAAGCGGAGGA
rnacentral:rRNA from 1 species